ensembl:lncRNA
AUGUUCUCAGGAUUUUUGUAUGGGUUUUCAAACGAGAGGACAUUUUCUGUCAUGGUUCUGUGUCUUGUUGUGUCUUAUGUUUUGAUUUCCAGGUCCUCUUGUGUCCUUUCAGUGUCUCCUGUGUUCUUCCCUCUGUUUUCCCCUUCCCUCUGGUUGCAUGUACUGCAUGUCUGGUUGCAUGUCUCCCUCUGUCUGUCAGUGUGCCCGCCACACUCCACUCUCGCCUGCUGCUCCACCUCACCUGUUCCUAGUCUUGUCGUUAGUGUCUGUGUUUAUAGUCCUUGUCUUCCCUAUUGUGUUUGUCAGUUUGUUGUGUGUAUUUGUGUAAUGUUCCCCUGGAAGUUUCCUGUGUCGCCUCUUGUGUCUCUGGUCUUCGUGGCUACAAACUCUACAGAGUCUUCAACAUAUCCAGAUUUUGCCUGCAAAGACAAAAACGAGGACAUCACACUGGAGGAAAGAAAAGUCAUCGCUGAACUUAGAACCCGCUCCUUGGUAAUUGGUCUCUGGAUUCUCUGUGUCCUUCUUAUAGCUGCCUUAUUUAAAUGGCUGAAAUGCUGUGUUAGAAAUUCAGGUUGUUGCAGAGAACUUGAUUAUUACAAAUUGAUUUUAGAAGAAGAGGAAAAUGUUCUGAAAGAGAUUCUGACAACAGCAGCGAAAGAAAAGUUGACCAAAGAAAUCAAAGACAAAUUAAGCAAUGAUAAAUGGACAGAAUGUUUCGAUGUGGCUGAAGAACUAAUUAACAACAAAAUUAAACCUCCCGCAGCAGCAGAAAAUCAGCUCCAGACCAGACAGCCCGACACUUCAACGCACACAGCAAUAGGAGCAUCAGGAGAAACAGCAGGAGGAACCGGUGGAACAGCAGGAGCAACCGGAGGAACAACAAGAGCAACUGGAGGAACAGAAGAAACAACAGGAGGAAGAGUCAGUAAUUAGUAAUCUCACCAUAAUAUCUGUUCAGGUGACCGUCAGUCUCUUUAUCAGCAGUUUCCUUCAUGUUUAGAAGAACUGUGUGAAGUAGGUGAUGUGUUGAGAAGCAGUUUAAUUUAGAAUUCACUUUUGAUUAAAAAAAAAAAAACAUUUGUUAGAUGUUGGGUAGCGACAGAACACAAGGGAAAACCAACAGCUUCUGCAUUUUUUUAUAUAAUCUAGAUUAUUUUUUAUUUGUGAAAACUAAAUGUUGAUUCACUGUUUGAAACGGUUGGCAGGGGAUUAGAAUUUCAACUUCACAAUGUAAAUAUAGAGGUCAAUAGACAUCAAUCUGUGUGUGUGUCUGUCGUUUUCAUCAGGGGGAGGAACAGCAGGAGGAACAGCAGGACAAGCAAUGUGAGGAGCAGGAGGAACAGCAGCAGGAGCAGGGGGAACAGCCGAAGGAACAGCAGAGGGAGGAGCAGGAGGAUGAGCAGGAGGGACAGGUGUGUUUGUGUGUUAUUUAAUCAGUAAUUAGUAAUCUUCCCAUAAUAUCUGUUCAGCUGACCGUCAGUCUGUUUAUCAGCAGUUUCCUUCAUGUUGAGAAGAACUGUGAAAAGCAGAUGAUGUGAGACAGAACACAACUAAAC